rnacentral:rRNA from 1 species
AUUGAACGCUGGCGGCAGGCUUAACACAUGCAAGUCGAGCGGAGAUGAGGUGCUUGCACCUUAUCUUAGCGGCGGACGGGUGAGUAAUGCUUAGGAAUCUGCCUAUUAGUGGGGGACAACAUUCCGAAAGGAAUGCUAAUACCGCAUACGCCCUACGGGGGAAAGCAGGGGAUCUUCGGACCUUGCGCUAAUAGAUGAGCCUAAGUCGGAUUAGCUAGUUGGUGGGGUAAAGGCCUACCAAGGCGACGAUCUGUAGCGGGUCUGAGAGGAUGAUCCGCCACACUGGGACUGGGACACGGCCCAGACUCCUACGGGAGGCAGCAGUGGGGAAUAUUGGACAAGGGGCGGAAGCCUGAUCCAGCCAUGCCGCGUGUGUGAAGAAGGCCUUUUGGUUGUAAAGCACUUUAAGCGAGGAGGAGGCUACCUGGAUUAAUACUCUAGGAUAGUGGACGUUACUCGCAGAAUAAGCACCGGCUAACUCUGUGCCAGCAGCCGCCGCAGUAA